GUGAAAUGUAGAUGCUCAACAUCUGCACUGCAGCGCGAACUGGUUUCCUUGAGUACGCACAAAGUGGGCGGAAUUCGUGGUGUAGCGGUGAAAUGCUUAGAUAUCACGAAGAACUCCGAUUGCGAAGGCAGCUCACUGGAGCGCAUCUGACGCUGAAGCUCGAAAGUGCGGGUAUCGAACAGGAUUAGAUACCCUGGUAGUCCGCACGGUAAACGAUGGAUGCCCGCUGUUGGUCUGAAUAGGUCAGCGGCCAAGCGAAAGCAUUAAGCAUCCCACCUGGGGAGUACGCCGGCAACGGUGCAACUCAAAUGAAUUGACGG
rnacentral:rRNA from 1 species